GUUAUAUUAGUUUAAUUUAGAACACCCGCCUUGCACGCGGAAAGUGAGUCUCGUACUCAUCUAACA
rnacentral:tRNA from 1 species